UGAGGAACAUGACCUUCGGCGGGGGAUAGCCGGCCCAACGGCCGGGUAAUACCGCGUACGACCACAUGGGGACAUCCCCGAGUGGUGAAAGCAGCAAUGCGCCGAUGGAGUGCCUCGCGGCCUAUCAGCUAGUUGGUGGGGUGAUGGCCCACCAAGGCGACGACGGGUAGCCGGCCUGAGAGGGCGACCGGCCACACUGGGACUGAGACACGGCCCAGACUCCUACGGGAGGCAGCAGG
rnacentral:rRNA from 1 species